rnacentral:rRNA from 1 species
GAUGAACGCUGGCGGCGUGCCUAAUACAUGCAAGUCGAGCGAACAGACGAGGAGCUUGCUCCUCUGACGUUAGCGGCGGACGGGUGAGUAACACGUGGAUAACCUACCUAUAAGACUGGGAUAACUUCGGGAAACCGGAGCUAAUACCGGAUAAUAUAUUGAACCGCAUGGUUCAAUAGUGAAAGACGGUUUUGCUGUCACUUAUAGAUGUAUCCGCGCCGCAUUAGCUAGUUGGUAAGGUAACGGCUUACCAAGGCAACGAUGCGUAGCCGACCUGAGAGGGUGAUCGGCCACACUGGAACUGAGACACGGUCCAGACUCCUACGGGAGGCAGCAGUAGGGAAUCUUCCGCAAUGGGCGAAAGCCUGACGGAGCAACGCCGCGUGAGUGAUGAAGUUCUUCGGAUCGUAAAACUCUGUUAUUAGGGAAGAACAAAUGUGUAAGUAACUAUGCACGUCUUGACGGUACCUAAUCAGAAAGCAACGGCUAACUACGUG